rnacentral:rRNA from 1 species
UACAGAGGUCCCAAGCGCUGUUCGGAUUCACUGGGCGUAAAGGGUGCGUAGGUGGCUUGGUAAGUUUGAUGUGAAAUCUCCGGGCUUAACCCGGAAAUGGCAUUGAAUACUAUUGAGCUGGAGGUUUGGAGGGGGGACUGGAAUUCUCGGUGUAGCAGUGAAAUGCGUAGAUAUCGAGAGGAACACCAGUGGCGAAGGCGAGUCCCUGGACAACACCUGACACUGAGGCACGAAAGCUAGGGGAGCAAACAGG